rnacentral:rRNA from 1 species
UGGGGAAUUUUGGACAAUGGGGGCAACCCUGAUCCAGCAAUGCCGCGUGCAGGAAGAAGGCCUUCGGGUUGUAAACUGCUUUUGUACGGAACGAAAAGGCUCUGGUUAAUACCUGGGGCACAUGACGGUACCGUAAGAAUAAGCACCGGCUAACUACGUGCCAGCAGCCGCGGUAAUACGUAGGGUGCAAGCGUUAAUCGGAAUUACUGGGCGUAAAGCGUGCGCAGGCGGUGCUGUAAGACAGGCGUGAAAUCCCCGGGCUUAACCUGGGAAUGGCGCUUGUGACUGCAGCGCUGGAGUGUGGCAGAGGGGGAUGGAAUUCCGCGUGUAGCAGUGAAAUGCGUAGAUAUGCGGAGGAACACCGAUGGCGAAGGCAAUCCCCUGGGCCUGCACUGACGCUCAUGCACGAAAGCGUGGGGAGCAAACA